rnacentral:rRNA from 1 species
UUAAGCGACUAAGCGUACACGGUGGAUGCCCUGGCAGUCAGAGGCGAUGAAGGACGUGCUAAUCUGCGAUAAGCGUCGGUAAGGUGAUAUGAACCGUUAUAACCGGCGAUUUCCGAAUGGGGAAACCCAGUGUGUUUCGACACACUAUCAUUAACUGAAUCCAUAGGUUAAUGAGGCGAACCGGGGGAACUGAAACAUCUAAGUACCCCGAGGAAAAGAAAUCAACCGAGAUUCCCCCAGUAGCGGCGAGCGAACGGGGAGCAGCCCAGAGCCUGAAUCAGUGUGUGUGUUAGUGGAAGCGUCUGGAAAGGCGCGCGAUACAGGGUGACAGCCCCGUACACAAAAAUGCACAUGCUGUGAGCUCGAUGAGUAGGGCGGGACACGUGGUAUCCUGUCUGAAUAUGGGGGGACCAUCCUCCAAGGCUAAAUACUCCUGACUGACCGAUAGUGAACCAGUACCGUGAGGGAAAGGCGAAAAGAACCCCGGCGAGGGGAGUGAAAAAGAACCUGAAACCGUGUACGUACAAGCAGUGGGAGCACGCUUAGGCGUGUGACUGCGUACCUUUUGUAUAAUGGGUCAGCGACUUAUAUUCUGUAGCAAGGUUAACCGAAUAGGGGAGCCGAAGGGAAACCGAGUCUUAACUGGGCGUUAAGUUGCAGGGUAUAGACCCGAAACCCGGUGAUCUAGCCAUGGGCAGGUUGAAGGUUGGGUAACACUAACUGGAGGACCGAACCGACUAAUGUUGAAAAAUUAGCGGAUGACUUGUGGCUGGGGGUGAAAGGCCAAUCAAACCGGGAGAUAGCUGGUUCUCCCCGAAAGCUAUUUAGGUAGCGCCUCGUGAAUUCAUCUCCGGGGGUAGAGCACUGUUUCGGCAAGGGGGUCAUCCCGACUUACCAACCCGAUGCAAACUGCGAAUACCGGAGAAUGUUAUCACGGGAGACACACGGCGGGUGCUAACGUCCGUCGUGAAGAGGGAAACAACCCAGACCGCCAGCUAAGGUCCCAAAGUCAUGGUUAAGUGGGAAACGAUGUGGGAAGGCCCAGACAGCCAGGAUGUUGGCUUAGAAGCAGCCAUCAUUUAAAGAAAGCGUAAUAGCUCACUGGUCGAGUCGGCCUGCGCGGAAGAUGUAACGGGGCUAAACCAUGCACCGAAGCUGCGGCAGCGACACUAUGUGUUGUUGGGUAGGGGAGCGUUCUGUAAGCCUGUGAAGGUGUGCUGUGAGGCAUGCUGGAGGUAUCAGAAGUGCGAAUGCUGACAUAAGUAACGAUAAAGCGGGUGAAAAGCCCGCUCGCCGGAAGACCAAGGGUUCCUGUCCAACGUUAAUCGGGGCAGGGUGAGUCGACCCCUAAGGCGAGGCCGAAAGGCGUAGUCGAUGGGAAACAGGUUAAUAUUCCUGUACUUGGUGUUACUGCGAAGGGGGGACGGAGAAGGCUAUGUUGGCCGGGCGACGGUUGUCCCGGUUUAAGCGUGUAGGCUGGUUUUCCAGGCAAAUCCGGAAAAUCAAGGCUGAGGCGUGAUGACGAGGCACUACGGUGCUGAAGCAACAAAUGCCCUGCUUCCAGGAAAAGCCUCUAAGCAUCAGGUAACAUCAAAUCGUACCCCAAACCGACACAGGUGGUCAGGUAGAGAAUACCAAGGCGCUUGAGAGAACUCGGGUGAAGGAACUAGGCAAAAUGGUGCCGUAACUUCGGGAGAAGGCACGCUGAUAUGUAGGUGAGGUCCCUCGCGGAUGGAGCUGAAAUCAGUCGAAGAUACCAGCUGGCUGCAACUGUUUAUUAAAAACACAGCACUGUGCAAACACGAAAGUGGACGUAUACGGUGUGACGCCUGCCCGGUGCCGGAAGGUUAAUUGAUGGGGUUAGCGCAAGCGAAGCUCUUGAUCGAAGCCCCGGUAAACGGCGGCCGUAACUAUAACGGUCCUAAGGUAGCGAAAUUCCUUGUCGGGUAAGUUCCGACCUGCACGAAUGGCGUAAUGAUGGCCAGGCUGUCUCCACCCGAGACUCAGUGAAAUUGAACUCGCUGUGAAGAUGCAGUGUACCCGCGGCAAGACGGAAAGACCCCGUGAACCUUUACUAUAGCUUGACACUGAACAUUGAGCCUUGAUGUGUAGGAUAGGUGGGAGGCUUAGAAGUGUGGACGCCAGUCUGCAUGGAGCCGACCUUGAAAUACCACCCUUUAAUGUUUGAUGUUCUAACGUUGACCCGUAAUCCGGGUUGCGGACAGUGUCUGGUGGGUAGUUUGACUGGGGCGGUCUCCUCCUAAAGAGUAACGGAGGAGCACGAAGGUUGGCUAAUCCUGGUCGGACAUCAGGAGGUUAGUGCAAUGGCAUAAGCCAGCUUGACUGCGAGCGUGACGGCGCGAGCAGGUGCGAAAGCAGGUCAUAGUGAUCCGGUGGUUCUGAAUGGAAGGGCCAUCGCUCAACGGAUAAAAGGUACUCCGGGGAUAACAGGCUGAUACCGCCCAAGAGUUCAUAUCGACGGCGGUGUUUGGCACCUCGAUGUCGGCUCAUCACAUCCUGGGGCUGAAGUAGGUCCCAAGGGUAUGGCUGUUCGCCAUUUAAAGUGGUACGCGAGCUGGGUUUAGAACGUCGUGAGACAGUUCGGUCCCUAUCUGCCGUGGGCGCUGGAGAACUGAGGGGGGCUGCUCCUAGUACGAGAGGACCGGAGUGGACGCAUCACUGGUGUUCGGGUUGUCAUGCCAAUGGCACUGCCCGGUAGCUAAAUGCGGAAGAGAUAAGUGCUGAAAGCAUCUAAGCACGAAACUUGCCCCGAGAUGAGUUCUCCCUGACCCUUUAAGGGUCCUGAAGGAACGUUGAAGACGACGACGUUGAUAGGCCGGGUGUGUAAGCGCAGCGAUGCGUUGAGCUAACCGGUACUAAUGAACCGUGAGGCUUAACCUU